GAAGUCGGCGGGCGGAAGCUGGGGGGGGAUGCAAAAUGGCGGCGUCGGGCGCCUCCGUGCGUCUGCUGCGGGAGGUGAGAUCCAAUGAAAGACUGAAUGUAAAUUAGGGCUAAAUAGAAGAAUUCAAAGAUGCUCCACUCACGAGCACACCAUAGGUGCAGGGGAGAGAAGGACUAUGGAUGACAUGAUGUUUCGAAGUGAUACUGUGCUGUCUGAUGUCCACCUACAUACCCCAAGCAAAAGGCAUUUUAUGGUUAGGCUGAACGCUGUUGGCCAGCCAGUAUUUCUCUCGCAGUUCAAGCUCCUUUUGGACAAAAGCAACAGGAAUUCUGGGAAGGAAGAGAGAGACUUUAGGGGGGAAAACCUCAGAUGCCAGCACAAACGUGGAGAGGUAUUAAGUGUGGAUGAUAGUAUUGAAGAUGAAGAUUCUUCAAGCAGCAUUGAAAAGGAAGGCAACUGCUUGAAAGGUAUUGAAGCUUUGUUGGAUGAAGAUGGGGAUUUGGAGGUUGUCCGAAAGCCUCAGUUACCUUACACAGAAGAUGAGGAUCUUUCAAGGGACAAGGUGUAUCCCAUCAUUUUGACUAAAGGUGGAGACAUCUUGGAAGAACAAGAAGAAGAAGAAGACAGCUGUUGUGAUGUUAUUAAAAUAGAGCACACCAUGGCAACCUCUUUAGAAGACGUUGGCAAGCAGGUCUGGCGAGGGGCCUUCCUACUUGCAGACUUCAUCCUCUGCAAGCAAGAUUUGUUCAAGGACUGUACUGUCUUGGAACUUGGGGGCGGUACCGGGAUUGUCAGUGUUAUUGUGGCAAAGGCUGCCAAGACCACUUAUUGCACAGAUAUUGGUGAAGAUCUACUGGACAUGUGUGAAAGAAAUAUUGCAUUAAACAAGCACCUCAUUGAACCUGCAGGAAAUAAAGUUAAGGUCAGAGUUCUGGAUUGGCUGAAAGAUGAUUUCUGUACUGAUCCUGAAAAUUCCUACAGCUGGUCUGAAAAAGAGAUUGCUGAGCUGCAUGAUCUCACCACUGUGAUACUAGCUGCAGAUGUAUUUUAUGACGAUGAUCUGACAGAUGCUUUUUUCAAAACGCUGUACCGAAUUACUAGCAACUUGGGAAACCCUUGCGCUGUCUACUUGUCAAUAGAAAAGAGGUUCAACUUCACCUUAAGACACAUGGAUGUUGUGUGUGAAGCAUACAGUCACUUUCGAAGUACCUUGAAUGACCUGCUGAAUAUCAGAGAUGGCAAGACGAGAUACACCAUUGAGCCUGUUCAACUCUCCUUUCCUCAACAUAUCGUUUAUGAGCGGGUGGAGCAGUUGGAAUUAUGGAAGAUCACUGCUGAAAGAACUACCCCACCCACCCCCAGAGGAUUGGAAUAGGACAUGAGGACAUUUGUACAGAAUAGUUUCCUUUCAGGGUUCUGUCCAAAAUUGUCCUCUGAAUGGAACAAGGAACCAAAUGGAUUUGGGGUAUGAGUGAGAAGCAGAUUAAAUAUAUACACAGCAGCAAUUAUAGCAUGGAGGGGAACAAGAAGGUUUGUAAGGCAUUGAAGCCAUGUCCCUGAACUACUGGAAAUCCUGUUCAACCUCAUUCUCACUUCUGAGAUUUCACCAGGCAUGGCUCAUCCUUGAAGGCAGAAUGGACAUCCUUUAAGCCAAGAUGUUCAGGAUACUAAAUUCUAUGUCCAGUAGCAAAUUCCUUUGUGGUAAAGAUGUACCUCCUUGGGCAAGACAACUGCAGCAAUGACUCCACUUUUCUGAGCAGUGGGUAUUGUAGGAAUUGGGGGAGCUACCUGAAGCUGGUGAAGUAAUCAGUAAGUCAGUGCAGUUAGGAUAUUUUGGACUAAGACCGUUGACAAUCAGGAGGCUCUUGUCUACAUCAGGAAAAGCUUCCUGACUGUUCGAGCAUUACGGCAAUGGAACCAAUUCCCUAGGAAGGUCGUGGGCUCUCCCACGCUAGAGGCCUUCAAGAGGCAGCUGGGCAGCCAUCUGUCAGGGAUGCGUUAAGGUGGACUUCUGCAUUGAGCAGGGGGUGGACUUGAUGACCUUAUAGGCCCCUUCCAACUCUACUAUUCUAUUAUUCUAUACCCUAGAACCUGCAAAUGGGGGUGAAAGGCUUGAGGAACAGCCUCAGGGACUGGAAGACCGAGCAGUGGUGUGGUUAGCAUGUCAGAUUAAUCACGGGGAGUCCCAAUUUCAAAUGUAUUCUCAGCCAUGAAGUUCAGCUUGGGCCAACUUACAGUGCCUUGAACUCAUUGGAGGAAAAGAUGAGCAAGGGCCAUGGCUUGACCCA